UCCUUUGACAGAAAAAGUGGAUAAUUGUCAUUCUAUCGCUGGUAUUGGUUGCCUUAAUUGCUCUAAUUGUUGGUCUGUCAGUUGGUAUUCGAUGAUGCUUGGAUAACUUCAGCAUGCAUAUCUCUGCCAAUGCGGCAAAAAUGACAUUCAUAAUUAUUUGUGUAACUGUCUUGCUUGUGAUCAUUGGAAUUAUCCUAGCAGCUACAUUAUCUUAGCAAGCACAUUCCAAGAGCUUAAGAAUCUUCAGGCUCCAAAUCACAUCUGCAGUGAAACCAAAUAUCUUAACUUUUUUUUUUUGGUAAAAGAUGCCUUACACCAUGAUACACAUGAUGUUCAAUGCUGACUUAUGAUUAGUGAUUUAAAGGUGAAAACAUAAUGGCACUGAAUGUUUAAUCAGAUCUGUAAAUCAAAAUGUAUAUGGGAAAUCAAUUGGCUUUUCAUCAGAAACCACAUGGAUCUGUCAGCGUGAAGCCUGCUUUUAAUGGUUUUGAACGAAAGUGAUUUGGGAAUUCCAUUUUUUCAUAUUCCAGUGUUAUAAACACAGAAUUUAAUUAGGGAAUUGUGGAACUAUUGAGUUUUGGCUAUUUGGUAUAAUUUUUCCACUCCUAAUGCAAUUUUAUUCAAGAAUUUUAGUACCACAUUUGUGUUCUCUUCUUGUUAGCAAAUUAAUUGAUUCUCUGAGCACUGUUUUUAGGUGAUGUAGCCAUAACUUUAAAUAAACAUUUACUGG